UAUUAGAGCAUAAGCUUUCGUGAGCUACAGCUCACUUCAUCGGAUGCAUGAAUGGUAUCUCAGAGAGCCACAGCUCUACUCAUGGCAGGUCUUGACUACUCAAAAGUGCCCCAGGAAGGAUUAUCUAACAGGAACCUCUCUGUGAUGCUGGUCAUGCAGAGGGGUCAUAGAGAAGGUAGCAGAGCACAGUAUAUAGUAUCGGGAGAAGCCUUUUCAGCACAAAUAAAGUGAGCAGGAAGUAGGGAGGAGAGAAAGCGGUAUGUGGCGAAUGAUUGAAUGGAAAGAAAUCUGAUGGAGGUAAUAAAGGAAAGAGAAGGAAGAAGAAAUGGGCAUGGGAUGGAGGGCAAAGGGAGAAAAAGCAAAAAGCAGCCUGAAAGAGUUUAAAAUAAGCUCACCUUAAAUUAUUUUCCAUUCCCUGCCUGCUCUUACUGCUACCUAUCCCACUUUCUCUACAGGCUCGGGGACUGAUGCAUACGCCCAGAAUGCCUUGCACAGAAGGAAUGUUACCAUGGUAAUGGCGAGCCCACAAGGAAGCACUGAACCAAGAUGGACCAAUUGCCAGCAUUCUAUGAACUGGAAUGUAAAUGCACAGGAAGAGGACAAGAAAACUGUAGGACAAGGUGCACAGGUUAAAGGCCAGUGCUUCCCUGUCAUUGAGGGAGUGAAGUCUCUUCUCUUCAGACGAACCAUGGGGUUUCAGAAAAAAGACAGGAUUUUCUGAAAGGCUGAAGCAAGAGAGGACACUGGAUUCCAGCGCAGGACCAUCUUACCACCUCAUGGCCUGAGUGGGCAUUGACCUGCACUGCCUCUUAUUCCCUUACUUAGGAACAUAAGGAGAACAUAACUACUGCACAUCUGCGAGCCAAUGGACAUUGCUUGUUAAAAAUCUCUGGACUUGGGCACUUGGAAUGCAUGUGUUCCCAUGUGUGGAAUACACAUAUGGCCCAGCACUCAAAGAAUGAUUGGUGAUACCAUUUCCAAGCUGUCUUACACUUCCCAUUAUUUCAACAUGUGCUGCCUUAAAGUCCCUCUCCAAAAGCAAGAUAUAUUUCAUCCCAUUCAAACCAAAGUGACCACCUAUGGCUACAAUUCUGAAAAGAUAAGGGGUAGAGUUAGAUGUAAAUCAAAGUUUCCUAGAAGUCGCACAACAAACCUAUCUUCCAGCACAUAUCAAUAACAAGAGAUUGGCUAGCGGCUCCUCCUUUACUGUGAUGUGAUUGACUAUUGAAUGUGGACUGGCUAUCAGUCACAAAGAAUAAUUUAUAGGAUCUUUUUCUUUCUUUUUUAGAUCCUGAUCCAGCAAAGCACUUAGGCAGGGUGUUAGUUGAUGCAUGACUAGACCUAUUGAAAUCAAUGGGAAGACUUGCAUAGUUCAAGAUAAGCACUUGCUUAAGUGCUUUGCUAGAAUGAAAUCUUUCUGCAUAAAUAAAAUACACACAUACAUAACAAAAAACAAAACUACUGCUAUAGUGAAUGGAUUGAACUAUAAGAAUUCAGUGCUGUGACAGAGGAUGCUAUGAAGUUUAGAAUACUGGAACAGAUAGAAGUAGUCAGCUUUUUGAGGCAGGGACCAUACAUGUUUGUGCACAGCUUAGCACAAUGAGGUUCGAAACCCAACUGGAACUUGUGUGUUAGGAUACUGAUGAUGACACAAUAAUAAAAUUCACCCAGUUUUAAAACAGGCGGUCCAAGCAAGCAAAUAUAUGGUAUUGGUGAUAGAGAAUAAAGGGCGAAAUCAAAUGAAAAUGCUAUUAACAUGCAAUGACAAAAAAUAAAAAACAAAUGUGAGAACAAUUUUAUUUGUUCUGAGCAAAAUAUGUUUGUCACUGGUAUAGUACAAAACAUGAAUUAUGCAAUUGUUUUAUCAUACCAAAAAAAACCUUCAGGUCUUAAAGAGUCUAAAAUAAUUACUUGAUCUAAAACAUUUAAAUCAAAUUGUUAUUUUCUUGAUUUUUCCUAAGAUGGACAUUUGCAAUGAGUAACAGAAAUGUUUUAUUACUUAUUUUUUGGUGUAAGUGGAUUUACUGCAAAUGAAAGCUACCAGAUAGACAGAACUGGAGACUGAAGUCCUUUAUCCAUAUA